CUCUUGACGGGGGUUGCGAUGGCAGCGCAGGAGAGAUCAGAGCCUGGCAUUCAUCAGUGGAGCAGCGCAGGCUGCUGUCAGCCGGGUCUGACGAAUGUGGCGUUACUCCGGUAGAGAUGAGCUGCUUGACAGUGUAUCAUUUUGGACGUCUUUUCCCGUCAUGUCUCAUCAAGAUCAAUCUAACCCGCGAUGCGGAUAAUGCGAUAUAAUGAAUCGCUGCAGAUGAAAGGCGCUUUAAAAUAAACCCACCGACACAAUGUA